rfam:Glycine soja cultivar W05 scaffold7147_11, whole genome shotgun sequence.
AAUACAUGGGGAUGUUGGACGGUUCAAUCAAAUCAAAUCUCCUAAUGGCUGGGUCCUUUGGUAUGAUUGAGCCGUGCCAAUAUCAAAUCCUGCUUA